UACGGAAGAUGCGAGCGUUAUCCGGAUUUAUUGGGUUUAAAGGGUGCGCAGGCGGCGUGUCAAGUCAGCGGUAAAAUGUCGGGGCUCAACCCCGGCCGGCCGUUGAAACUGGCGUGCUCGAGUUGGAGAGAAGUAUGCGGAAUUCGUGGUGUAGCGGUGAAAUGCAUAGAUAUCACGAAGAACCCCGAUUGCGAAGGCAGCAUACCGGCUCCACACUGACGCUGAGGCACGAAAGCGUGGGUAUCGAACAGG
rnacentral:rRNA from 1 species